rnacentral:misc_RNA from 1 species
AACAAGAAUUCUAUAUAAAUAAAAUCUUUCAACACUUUCUCACACCAAAAAGAUCAAUAUGGUUUCAUAAGCUUUACCAUUUGCCACUGUCAACCUUCCUUUUCUAGCCUAAAAGACAGUAGAAAAAAGGGGGUAAACUUAAACAAAAAUACCACAUCUUAAACAAAAAUUCCAAAAAGUACAGCUCAAAUGUUCAACUAGAAGGCCAAAGAACUUGAUUUGCCCAACAACCACAUACUUAACCCGCUUAUAGAAACAAGGAAAUGCUCAACGCUUCUUGGAGACACCAACAGUUUUCCCUCGGCGACCAGUGGUCUUAGUGUGCUGACCACGGACUCGGAGGCCCCAGUAGUGCCUUAGACCUCGGUGGUUCCUAAUCUUCUUCAACCGCUCCAAAUCAUCUCUCAACUUCAU